rnacentral:tRNA from 1 species
GCACUCGUGGCGGAAUUGGCAGACGCGCUAGACUUAGGAUCUAGUUCUUGCGAGUAAGAGUUCAAGUCUCUUCGAGUGCACCA